ACUCGGCCAGGCGCCGGCGACCUGAGGGGAGAGGGAACGCAGCUGAAAGCGUGAACUGUACCUGUCAUUUACUCCAUCCUUUAUAGUGAUGCUACAGGACGAAGAGGAAUGGAUAAAAACAUUGGCGAGCAACUCAAUAAAGCGUAUGAAGCCUUCCGGCAGGCAUGCAUGGAUAGAGAUUCUGCAGUAAAAGAAUUACAGCAAAAGUCACUGCAAUAACAUAGCAAAAUUAAUGGAUUAACAAUAUAAGGGAAACUGGCAUUUAAGACACCAAAGGUCAACUAUAUUCUCUUAAUUUCUUAAAACUUAGUGGAGAAGUUUCUGACUGAGAACUAUGAGCAGAGAAUACGUGAACAACAGGAACAGCUGUCACUUCAACAGACUAUUAUUGACAAGCUAAAAUCUCAGUUACUUCUUGUGAAUUCCACUCAAGAUAACAAUUAUGGCUGUGUUCCUCUGCUUGAAGACAGUGAAACAAGAAAGAAUAAUUUGACUCUUGAUCAGCCACAAGAUAAAGUGAUUUCAGGAAUAGC
rnacentral:lncRNA from 1 species